rnacentral:lncRNA from 1 species
AGUUUAUAUUCAUUAUAGAUUAUAUUCAUAUAAGAACCUUAAAUAAUGUUAAUAUAUUGAAGUAAGUUAUUUAGUUUAAAUAAAAUUAGAUUAUUUAAUACAAACGCAAUAAAAUAAGUUGCAAGAUGGAAGUGAAAAAUUUAUGAAAUGAUAAAGCAUAAAGAAUGGAUUAAAGAAGACUAUAAAUAUGAAGUCCAUACUCUUAUGGUGCGGCAAAGUCCUCCAUCGCACAAACCUUCGUCUCUUCUCCAUCCCAGACCUCUUCUUUUCUUCCUCCUCUACCAUUUCUGCAUCUACCUCUGUACUCAAAGCAUCACAUUGCCCCUAACCUACUGUUCCUCUCUCUCCCUCCUCCUCCACCUCCCCCUCGAGUUCUUCAUCCUACUCGUUCACUUCAAAAUCGGAGUCUCCUGCAUCGCAAUAGCCAUGGUAUGGACCAACCUCAACCUAUUCCUCUUCCUCU